UACGUAGGGUGCGAGCGUUGUCCGGAAUUAUUGGGCGUAAAGAGCUCGUAGGCGGUCUGUCGCGUCGAAUGUGAAAACCCGGGGCUCAACCCCGGGCCUGCAUUCGAUACGGGCAGACUAGAGUUCGGUAGGGGAGUCUGGAAUUCCUGGUGUAGCGGUGAAAUGCGCAGAUAUCAGGAGGAACACCGGUGGCGAAGGCGGAUCUCUGGGCCGUAACUGACGCUGAGGAGCGAAAGCAUGGGGAGCGAACAGG
rnacentral:rRNA from 1 species